CGUAGGGGGCAAGCGUUGUCCGGAUUUAUUGGGCGUAAAGCGCGUGUAGGCGGCCAUACAGGUCAGCUGUGAAAACUCGAGGCUCAACCUCGAGACGUCGGUUGAAACCGUAUGGCUAGAGUCCGGAAGAGGAGAGUGGAAUUCCCGGUGUAGCGGUGAAAUGCGCAGAUAUCGGGAAGAACACCCGUGGCGAAGGCGGCUCUCUGGGACGGUACUGACGCUGAGACGCGAAAGCGUGGGGAGCGAACAGG
rnacentral:rRNA from 1 species